UGUCAAAAAAUACAUUCAUUUGUACUGCUAGAAACUGGCGUAAUUAACAGAAUAACCAGACAGUGUCACAUAGCAAGCCACAUGUACCUUAAAUUAAUGUACAUGGACCAGGUUUUAACAGUAGAAAUGGAUAAAAAUUUUCACA
rfam:Gossypium hirsutum cultivar TM-1 chromosome 26, whole genome shotgun sequence